UGCAAGCACUUGAUGGAUAUGAGAUUUGCCAUACUAUGUUAACUGAAGAGCUCAUUGACUGCUUUGCUUCACUCGGGUUCACCUCACUACAAAUAUAUGGCUAUUAAUCCAUAUAUAUUUAUCUAUUUAAUGUAAACACAAAAUUAUACGGUAUGAACAAUGCUGGAGAUUGGCUUCUAGCUACUCUUUUGCUGGAAGAAUUUGAAGCGCCCGAUGUCGGCUGAUCUCACGCAUGUGAUGUGACCAAUGAAGAUUAGUGAGUAUCUUUUUUUUUAGUUAUAUACUUUGAGAAUAAAUCGUGCAACUGUGGGUUUCAGGCCAUUUGUGAUGAUGAUGAUGUGAGGGCAAAUAUACCUGCUAUGGUUUCUAAAAAUAUAAUCAAAAUUGGUAUUUUUAUAACUUUAUCUUAUAAUCAUGCCACACUAUGGGGUCACAUCAUCACGCGUUAAGUGUUAAGUAUGAUGGUAUGUUUAUGGGGUCUAUACAUAUGCUUUUGAAUCUGUCUAUGUGAUAUUAGAUAAUCACUUGUGUUAAUGUUAGACUAUAAUUACUGAUUGAAGUUGUGGUUAUCGUAUAACCAUAUAGGUUUUUUUUUGGUAACUUGUAAAUUUAUUUGAUUCUAAAGCUUUUUUACUUUUUUUUGUAUUUAUUCAUCCUGUAGGUAUGCAUAGAUCACUUUUGUAGACAUUAAUAAUAAUGGGUUUAAUGAAGCACUUGAACAUGCAUGAUGGAUUUGAAGUUGGGGGUUACACUUCUUCACAUGGCUAGGAUGACUCUAUUAAUCCCAUAC
rnacentral:lncRNA from 1 species